GAGGAAGAAUGUUGGCAGUUACAACCUGUUAGACUCCAGGAGUGAGAAUUGAAGGAGGGACUAGGAGGAACUAAGUGAUGAUAUGAAAACCUCUGCAAAUGGUACAAAGAUCAUCAUUCAAAAAGAAAAAGAAAAAGUAAGAACACAGUCCUGUGAGGUGUUGGGAAGCUGCUAAAACGUGCUGUGGUGUCUCAACACCAGAUAGUUCUCUAUAGUUCCAAGACUCAAAUCAAGAGGUUAUGGGCAUCCACAGCCACCAGUGAACCCAACAGAAGCUGCAGGUGCUCAGCAUUUUAGAGAAUCAAGCCCUUCGAGUGGUUUCAGGCACCUCACCACACCUGGGUGAGAUAGUUCCAGGUCCAGCCCUGUAUUUGAAGAGCCAGUAUUGGGAGGAAGCCCAGAACCCAGCUCGCCCCAUCACAGCCUGGGUGGACCUACUCCCCACAGGAACCAGUGAGGAGAGCUCCAGUAGUGAGGGAGUCCUGCCCAAGUCAGGAACACAAAGCACCAGCAUUGUUGUAAGGGGAAGCUGAUCUCAUCUACCAUGGGAUUGCAUGAGGAGAGAGGCAAUCUCAAAGGUGCAGAGUACAUUUAUAAACAAUAUGCCACUCCCAUAAAACACACCAACUACAUAAUGCUGAAAUAUGGCUGCCAUGAACAGGUGUGAUCUGAUGGAACAGCUCUGGCCACUUUUGGAUGGUACUGGCCUUCCGAGUCCCCCUCCUCUGCAGGAGGGAGGCUGCAGCUUUUUGUACCAUUAGAACUUCUUCCUUUGAAGUUUCCACAAGCAAGAUCUAUGCUGGAGUUUACAUCUGCAGAAGUCAUCACGUGGUGCUGCAACCAUCAUCUUGGCCAACAGAGUGGGGAUUGAACUGGAGACUUCCAAAGCAAAAAAGCAGCUACUGCUAGUGCUAUAAUCGACUUAUUUAGCCUCUGCAGAUCUGGCACAGCUGUAACACACACUUACCAGUAGGUUACACUGCCUCUGUGGUUUCCACACAGCUUGUAUGAAAAACUGCUGCAAAGAUUGCUCAAAAAUAGUAGUGCAUAAUAUUGUGCCUCUUACAUGUAGUUGUGCAGGCAGACAAGGGAGGGGGCCAGUGGGAGUACAGCAUUGCCAUAAAGAAAGGGUGAGGAUUAAGGGCACAAGCUGCCUAGGAACACCAAGCACAUAUAACCUCCUAUAAACAAAAGCAUUUAGUGGCAUAUGCAGGCACAUAGAAGGGAUGUGAUGGGGAUAGGAAUGAGGGAGAACAGGAACAAUAACAGGAAACCAGGACACUCACCCAAGCACAGUACAAACCAGCCAGCAGCACCUCUGUGUUUGCUUUGGGACAGUAUGAGGUAAAGGGAAGUGCUUUAUGCUUGGUCUAUUACCUUACUAAAAGUAUCACAAAAGUACUCUCAAACAUUUUAAUUGUUGUUGCCACUCCUCCAAUUCACAUCCUAGCUUCUCCAAUAUUAGAAAGGUGUGGUAAGCCAGUUUCAUAUUAGGGAAGGAAGAAAGAGACCUAUUAAUACAAAAUAGUCACAGAAAGUCUGAAAGUUCAGUACAAAGCAUUGCCAUUUGGCAUGUUUUGUGAUUUUUUCCUAUAAUAAUCAGUACAGUUACAAUGACCCAGUGCUAAGCUAGAGGGCCUUUAAACACAGGAAGGUGCACAAGUGUGUGUGUGUCUUUGUGUGUAAUGCUUUAAGGAAUGUAUAAAUGACUUGAAUCGCUUUCAAGGACACGACUACCUUUUUGGACAAAGCCAGCAUUGUACGUCUCAUUAUGACAAUGCAAAGUGCAAGUGCCAGAUCACAAGACUAACUUUCUCGGUAAGUAAUUUGAGUACUGGUGUACAUAAAAUUAAAAAAAAAACAACUGGCAGACAUUUAAACUGUGCAGUUUACUUUGAAAACAUUAAUGUUUGACUUAGCUUGAGAAGUCUUAAGAAAUUACAACUUUGAUCUUAAGAACAACUUGUAAUACGAGGUCUGCUGCAAUCCAGGUCAGUUAUGAUGCCAUCAGCCUAACGUCAGAAGUAAAACACAUAAACAUAUAGCUAAUUUAUCUAGAUGGCACCUAAUAAGCCAGGCUCAUGGAAAAUUGCAAUAAAGAUAUGGUACUUGCAUAUCAUUUUCUGCAAAAAUUGAUAGGGAACUGCUACCUUGGUCCCAUCUCAUUGAUUUUUUUACCAGUAAGAUGUUCUGUGCCUUCUUGUGUCCAACUAGACAUUGGCCUGAACCAAAGCUCCAGAUAGAAUUACAUAAUGUGUGUUUGAAUCCAAAUAGGAAUGUUUUUGCUGUGCUCUAUUUCAGUAUCAAACCUAGACAAGAUCCCUAAUGCUGAGCACCCCUGAAUUUUGAAAACCAGAUCUAGAGCCAGUUUGCAGUUGAUUUACUGGAUACAAAAGCAAAUCCAUAUAGGUAAAUGGGAGGAGGAAUAACUCAGUGGUUUGCGCAUUGGCCUGCUAGCUCUAGGGUUGUGAGUUCAAUCCUUGAGGGGGCCACUUAGGAAUCUGGGGCAAAAUCAGUACUUGGUCCUGCUAGUGAAAGCAGGGGGCUGGACUCAAUGACCUUUCAGUUCUAGGAGUUAAAUAUAUCUCAAAUUAUAAACAUUUUAUGUAUUAUCACCUCAAAAACCACAAUGCAUUUUUAAAUCCUCCCACUGUAUCUAUGGGCUUGGAAAGAGUCAAGUGUUAUUUGUUUAUGAAUUUUGAUGGAUAAUAUUGAUAUUUUGAAAUCUAUAUAUGUAUAUUUGUUUUGACUUCCAUUUUUUAUAAAUAACAGUUUGAUGGUGCGUUCACCCCUCACAUGCCCUGAAAGGGCUAAUGUAGGCUAAAAGGGGAGCCAGUUUACCAGACAGGCCCCAGAUGAGGGGAAUGACAUCGCUGAUAGAAUGAAGAAGCCCAGCUGAGGAGGAACAAGCUGGGUUGGAUUUAUAAAGGCAGGAAGCUAAUAGCAGAGGGGGCUGCAGGGAAGUAGGGUGCAGUCACUCCCAGGAAGAAGGAAGGUGUGAGGCCGGCAAAACCAGAGGAGAGCCAGAAGGUAUGGAAGCAGCUCAGGGAAAAAGCAGUAAGUCUAGGAGAGAACAGACCUUGGCUGCUGACUAGAGGGUCCCUGAGCUGGAACCUGGAGUAGAGGGUGAGCCUGGUUCCCCUGCCAG